rnacentral:rRNA from 1 species
AAACAUGUCUUUUUGAAUUAUAUUUAAAGUCUGACCUGCCCACUGAAUAAUUUUAAAUGGCCGCAGUAUUUUGACUGUGCAAAGGUAGCAUAAUCAUUAGUCUUUUAAUUGAAGGCUGGUAUGAACGGUUGGACGAAGUAUAAGCUGUUUCAUAUAAAUUUAUAAUAGAAUUUUAUAUUUUAGUUAAAAAGCUAAAAUUUUAUUAAAAGACGAGAAGACCCUAUAAAUCUUUAUAUUUAAUAUAAACUAAAUUUUUUUGAUUUAUUUUAUUUUUUUAAUAUUAAUUAUUUUGUUGGGGUGAUAUUAAAAUUUGAUGAACUUUUAAUUUUUAAAAAUCAUUAAUUUAUGAAUUAUUGAUCCAUUAAUAGUGAUUAUAAGAUUAAGUUACUUUAGGGAUAACAGCGUAAUUUUUUUUGAGAGUUCAUAUCGACAAAAAAGUUUGCGACCUCGAUGUUGGAUUAAGGUAUAAUUUUGGGUGUAGCCGUUCAAAAAUUAAGUCUGUUCGACUUUUAAAUCCUUACAUGAUC